rnacentral:rRNA from 1 species
UACGUAGGGCGCAAGGCGUUGUCCGGAAUUAUUGGGCGUAAAGAGCUCGUAGGCGGUUUGUCGCGUCUGCUGUGAAAACCUAAGGCUCAACCUUGGGCUUGCAGUGGGUACGGGCAGACUAGAGUGCGGUAGGGGUGACUGGAAUUCCUGGUGUAGCGGUGGAAUGCGCAGAUAUCAGGAGGAACACCGAUGGCGAAGGCAGGUCACUGGGCCGCAACUGACG